UGUUCUGUGGCGGAGUAGGUUAACGCGCCCUGUCUAGCGAACUUGGGGAGACGUGGGUUCAAAUCCCACCAGAACUA
rfam:Aedes albopictus isolate Foshan contig33635, whole genome shotgun sequence.